ensembl:snoRNA small nucleolar RNA SNORA81
ACCUUCUUUUGUGUAAGCACUGUGCUAAAACUGCAGAAACUAGGAUCACAUCUUGGGUUUUGUAAUGAUGCUAGCAAAGUACAUACAAGAAGAAAAGGAACUGCACUAGAGUAUAAAGACUGGGGUGAGCCUCUCUCUUAGUGUCCAGUGUCCUUUGUCUUAAGGUGUGAUGCGCUGUCU